UUUGUUCUCUCACACCUCUGUAAACAAGGCUUUUUGCUGCUGUUCCCAUCAAGCUGCUCCCUGCAACUGUGUAGAGAGACUGUCACAACAGCACUUGUCAGGAACUGCAGCGUAGCAAGCCAUGACAGCUGGUGGCACGAGGAGCCCAUGCAUCUGCUUUUCUCCCUCUGCCAGGCCUCCCUGAAUAAUGGGAGGUCUUGUGUACACACGAAUGAUGCUAUUGAUCCUCCCACUGUGGGCCCCAAGCACUGCCGUUCUUUGUAAGUAGCUGGGGGUUGCGUUUACACUGCUCUCCUCACACACCACCACCUAAUUCCCCCUGGGAUCCAGGGAGCGUAUUUGUACUUGGUUAUAAGUGCAGAGAGCCCUGGAAUCUUUAUCAGGAGAGCAGAAUUUGGGUGGCAGCCUUGUCGCAUACCAGGUGUCUCCAGUUCCAUGCAAGCCAGGCGGCAGAGGAAGCAUCAGAAGAGCCAAGUGGAACAUGGUCCAUGAUGGGUCACAAGCCCAGAGGCCCAGGAAAGCCGAGGAAAAGAGGACCAUCUGUCAGAAAAGAGGACAUUGGAGGGAGGAGCAAUGCAUUUGGGGAGGAGUAUAUUUUGCAUUACAAUCCCUGAAAAACAAGGAGCCACCAAAGGGAGUAGUGGAGGCGUCUUCAUCACAUAGUGUAAAUGCCAUCCUUUGAGUGUAGCAGGAAGGUGGGCACAGAUGAUCAGAGAAGCGCUCCAGAAGACAAGAGAUGUCGGCAAACUUUGUUUUCCU
rnacentral:lncRNA from 1 species